AACGAACGCUGGCGGCAGGCCUAACACAUGCAAGUCGAACGCUCUAGCAAUAGAGAGUGGCAGACGGGUGAGUAACGCGUGGGAAACUUCCUAGGGGUACGGAAUAGCUCAGGGAAACUUGGGGUAAUACCGUAUGAUGCCAAGAGGCCAAAGAUUUAUCGCCCUUAGAUGUGCCCGCGUCGGAUUAGCUAGUUGGUGAGGUAACGGCUUACCAAGGCGACGAUCCGUAGCUGGUUUGAGAGAAUGACCAGCCACACUGGGACUGAGACACGGCCCAGAGUCCUACGGGGGGCGGCAGUGGGGAAUCUUGGACAAUGGGCGGAAGCCUGGUCCAGCCAUGCCGCGUGAGUGACGAAGGUCUUAGGGUUGUAAAGCUCCUUUGCCGGGGACGAUAAUGACGGUACCCGGAGAAUAAGUCCCGGCUAACUUCGUGCCAGCAGCCGCCGUAC
rnacentral:rRNA from 1 species